CCUACGGGAGGCAGCAGUGAGGAAUAUUGGUCAAUGGGCGUAAGCCUGAACCAGCCAAGUCGCGUGAGGGAUGAAGGCUCUAUGGAUCGUAAACCUCUUUUAUAAAGGAAUAAAGUGCGGGACGUGUCCCGUUUUGUAUGUACCUUAUGAAUAAGGAUCGGCUAACUCCGUGCCAGCAGCCGCGGUAAUCCGGAGGAUCCGAGCGUUAUCGGGAUUUAUUGGGUUUAAAGGGUGCGUAGAUGGCAUGUUAAGUCAGGUGUGAAUGUCUGUGGCCCAACCGUAGAAUUGCCAUUGAUACUGGCAGGCUUGAGUACGGUUGAGGUAGGCGGAAUGCGUGGUGUAGCGGUGAAAUGCUUAGAUAUCACGAAGAACACCGAUUGCGAAGGCAGCUUACCAAGCCGUGACUGACGCUGAUGCACGAAAGCGUGGGGAUCAAACAGGAUUAGAUACCCGUGUAGUC
rnacentral:rRNA from 1 species